UCGCUCCGUGUGUGUGGCUCGCGCUGACCACCACCAGCAGGAAACUUUCCCAGGGCAGCUGCUGCUCCGCUUUCCUCUCCCCGGCCAGCGUGUCGGGCGCUGAGCGUGUGCAGCUCCGGAGCCGCCGGCGGCAGCAGGGCAAGGAGCCUCCAUGGGGUGUUGAAAAAAACUCAGAUUUGGAAAGCUGAAUGGGAUAAACAUGAAGAGCUUGAAAGCAAAGUUCAGAAAGAGUGAUACCAACGAGUGGAAUAAGAAUGACGACCGGCUGCUGCAAGCUGUGGAGAAUGGAGAUCCAGAGAAAGUGGCUUCGCUGCUGGGCAAAAAGGGAGCCAGUGCCACCAAACAGGAUA